UACAAUUAGGCGAAUAUUUGUACAAAUUCAAAAGUGAGCGAGCAAUUUGUUAAAUUAGCCAAAAUGCAAAUGCUGUGUGAGCGUGUAUCCGCGAUCUUUGCGGGUGCCAUUGUGGGCAUGUGGUAUGCCAAGACCUUUCCCGCAGAUCAGAACAAGGACAAGAAGGGCAAAGGUGACAAAAAGUAGUCGAAGGCACUUUCAUACCAUCCUGUGACCUUCUCCAGAGCCAUCAACCAUUAUUAACUGCUUGGGGCACACCAUUGGAACACAGUCGUCGAGACAAAGCCAUCAAAUCAGCUGGCAAAAUUCAGUUCUCGUUCGGCCUUCAUCUACAACGUUCCAUUUUUUGUUUCGACCAAAAUUGCUCCAUGUUUUCAUUGUUUUUGAAAUUCUA